rnacentral:lncRNA from 1 species
UUUGAAUCUACAUCUUAUAUAAUCCCAUGUACAUCAAAAUGUUUAGGUCUUCCUGUAAACAUAUUAUAUAGUACAUUAGUAGGAAUUAUUUGAAAUUUCAUAACUUGAAAAUAUAAAAAUUCAUAAUUUCAACAUACUAUAUUUUAUAAUUUCAACAUACAAAAAACAUACAUAAAAUAAUACAACAAAAUAAAUAUUGUAUCAAAAUUGUUCUACUCAAAGCAAU